rnacentral:siRNA from 1 species
CUGUCAAGUUGAGGCCUGAAAC